rnacentral:rRNA from 1 species
UACAGAGGGCUCAAGCGUUGUUCGGAAUCACUGGGCGUAAAGCGCGUGUAGGCGGCCCACUAAGUCUGAUGUGAAAGCCCGGGGCUCACCCCCGGAAGUGCAUUGGAAACUGGUGGACUCGAGUCCCGGAGAGGAGAGUGGAAUUCCACGUGUAGCGGUGAAAUGCGUAGAGAUGUGGAGGAACACCAGUGGCGAAGGCGACUCUUUGGCCUGUAACUGACACUGAGGCGCGAAAGCGUGGGGAGCAAACAGG